AACAGUUAAAGAGCACCUAUUAUGAGAUACACGUUUUUAAACAUCCUUUUGUGUGUAAGUGUGUAUUAGUACAUGCUAACGAUAUUCAAAAAGUACAUACCUCAAAGAAAACGAUGACGCGAGUUAUCGUCUCUAACGUUCGAGGACUACAAAAAACACUCGGAUUGUAGGCAACAGUUUACUUCCUGGGAUUGGUGACGUAGAUAAGACCAACAUUAUCAUAGUUCAGCCCUCUCUGCUUCGCUUGGGUACGCCCUCAAAGACGGGGGUGGAGAGCGCUGAGUCAGAAGAGAGCUAAAAUGGCGGAGGUUGGGAGUCCCUGCUUUGACCCUGUUUGCAAACUCUUGUUUCAUUGUUUAAGCGAUUAAAUCUCUCGAGUAGACGCUGUCUCUUUAGAUGCAAGGGCAAAAUAGCACUUUAUGGACUUACACAGAGGACAUCAUGUUUAAUACGGUUCCGGAAAAAUCCAGUCAGAAGUUGUUCACGGAGUUUUCACAACAACUGCUUCUUAUGAACCGAAGCUGGAUUUGCGCGACGUUUCCUCUUGAAAGUUGGAUUACCGUGCACUUCUGGAUCACAGGCUAUUCGCAGCUGGAGAAAUCCUUCUACACUGUAUGCAAACAUGCAACAUCAUUACACACAGUACAAGGAGUCAGACUGGCAUAUGAGGAGCAAAGGAACCCAGGCAGUAGCAUCGUUUCACAAUGUUUCAAUCACCAUCAUCAGUGGAUGCCUUUGCCGUCCGUAGCCUGAGAUUUCAGAUUUGCAGCAAAAAAUGUGACUUUCCCAUUUAUUGGAAUGCUGUGCAGGUUAUACCUUACAGCCGUCCAUUACAAUGUCACCAAGCCGUAACAAAAGCAGGAGAGGGAAAGUACAAGGCUAUGUUCCCAAAACACACAAGUGACAUACUGUAAGCAGUAAUGUUUUAUUUCAAAUACAUUCAUAAUUAAAAACUUAAUGUAUGAAGCAGGGAAAUAAAUGAUCAAAACAAAAGAUUUAUUGACUGCAAUAUUUGUACAGUUAUGUGGAUGAUGUGAUCAGGCUUGUGUUUGCUGAGGUAUUUGAAGAUAAGCUGAAGGAAACCCCGAUUCCAAUGGACCUGGCAUCACAGUUUGAGAGACCUUCAAAGGAGGACGUGAUUGCAUGCCAUCUUCAGUGCAGGGGUCGUCGGAAGCCAACAUUCCGAUCAGGAAGCUCCAAGCAUAUCUGGAGAACAACACACGACAGGAUGAUAACCCUAAAGUGUUGUCUUAAAUAGCACCAUCUGACAAAGCUUUGAUAUGCCAUUUAUCUGAAUAGAUAGCUGUAAGAAGUGAAUUGAACAAUUUUUGAGAGAAGAGCACAAUAUGGUUACUAAAGUAUGUUUAUUUGUAUAUUGUUUAACAUUUAAAUAUAUAUUUGUAAUAAAUAAACUUUUGACUG